AGUAACACGUGGAUAGCCUACCUAUAAGACUGGGAUAACUUCGGGAAACCGGAGAUAAUACCGGAUAAUAUUUUGAACCGCAUGGUUCAAAAGUGAAAGACGGUCUUGCUGUCACUUAUAGAUGGAUCCGCGCUGCAUUAGCUAGUUGGUAAGGUAACGGCUUACCAAGGCAACGAUGCAUAGCCGACCUGAGAGGGUGAUCGGCCACACUGGAACUGAGACACGGUCCAG
rnacentral:rRNA from 1 species